rnacentral:rRNA from 1 species
GACGUAGGGGGCCAGCGUUGCUCGGAAUUACUGGGCGUAAAGGGUGCGUAGGCGGGUUGAUAAGUCAGUGGUGAAACCUCCGAGCUUAACUCGGAAACUGCCAUUGAUACUAUCAGUCUUGAAUUCAGUUGAGGUGGGCGGAAUGUGUCGUGUAGCGGUGAAAUGCUUAGAUAUGACACAGAACACCAGUUGCGAAGGCAGCUCGCUAAACUGACAUUGACGCUGAGGCACGAAAGCGUGGGGAGCAAACAGG